rnacentral:tRNA from 1 species
CAGAGAAUAGUUUAAGAAAAAUUUUAAUUUUGGAGAUUAAAGAUGAAAUAA